CCUCUCUCAGGAUCACACCUGGAGAAUUUCCAGUACUCUAGCAGUCUUGGCUACAGGAGGGAGAGUCAGCCAGGUGCAUAUCCAUUCCAUUCCUAGCUUGGGCAGUGGCUAGCGAGUGGAAGGCAAGCUGCUACAAGU